GAUGUAGCUCAGUGGUAGAGUACAUGUUUAUUACCCAUGAGGCCUUGGGUUCAAUUCCCAGCAUC
rnacentral:tRNA from 1 species